rnacentral:tRNA from 1 species
AACUUGUUGCCGAGCAGUUCACGUCACUGCCCUUUCACGGCAGUAUCGCGGGUUCAAACCCCGCACGGGUCACCA